AGGAGCCUGAGUGUUUGGACUGGAGCUGCUGAAUGGUUUCUCACAGUUCUAGAAUGUUUGGGGCUGCACCCUCUAAGAUAUUGAACCCAUCAGUAAUUGCUCCAAACCACUUUAUGGGAUAUAAUGCUGUGAGUUGACCCUGAGGUGAUUGUGGUCCUGUUCAUGAGUAAUUACUUUUCUGUUGCCUAUAGAAGGGCCAGCAACAGCAGAUUAGUAGCUGAACAGUGGUUUUGAGUAAUAAAACGUUCUUUUUUUAAAAAAAGUAAUACUUUCUGUUAAACUCUGACUAUAUCUCUCUCCUGGUAUCACAACCCAGCUUUCUUUUUGCCUUCUUUAUUGCAGUUACAUAUGGGGCUGAUGACUUUAGGGAUUUCCAUGCAAUAAUUCCCAAAUCUUUCUCUCUGUUGGAAUUGUGACUAUCCUCCUCACACAAGCGGCUACUUGGUCUUGAUGCCUUCCCCCGCAAAACAGCAACCAAACUGUUCUGGGCCAAUAUCACCACCUUGUGGUCAUGAUGAAGAAUUGCCCUCUUUGCCCUCAACACCUCGUCUUGAAAAUUAGAAACAACUCCUUUCACCCCC
rnacentral:sRNA from 1 species